rnacentral:rRNA from 1 species
GACGAACGCUGGCGGCGUGCUUAGCACAUGCAAGUCGAACGGAAAGGCCCUUCGGGGUCCUCGAGUGGCGAACGGGUGAGUAACACGUGGGUGAUCUGCCCUGCACUUUGGGAUAAGCCUGGGAAACUGGGUCUAAUACCGAAUAGGACCACGCGCUUCAUGGUGUGUGGUGGAAAGCUUUUGCGGUGUGGGAUGGGCCCGCGGCCUAUCAGCUUGUUGGUGGGGUAAUGGCCUACCAAGGCGACGACGGGUAGCCGGCCUGAGAGGGUGACCGGCCACACUGGGACUGAGAUACGGCCCAGACUCCUACGGGAGGCAGCAGUGGGGAAUAUUGCACAAUGGGCGCAAGCCUGAUGCAGCGACGCCGCGUGAGGGAUGACGGCCUUCGGGUUGUAAACCUCUUUCAAUAGGGACGAAGCGCAAGUGACGGUACCUAUAGAAGAAGCACCGGCCAACUACGUG